AGGAAGUGCUGCGCACUUCACUCGUCUCUCAUGUCUGCUGUGGCUGCUGCGUGCUGUGAGACGCACUGGAGACAAACUCGCAAAAUCUUCACAUUCUCCCACUUUGCAAACAUCAUAAUUAGCCAACCUGUUCUAUUAACUAUCGGGCUGUGCAGGUGUGGUGUGUUACCCUCGAUUGCUCAGGUAAUUACUGUAACAAACAGUUCAGGGUGUCCCUCCAGUUUUGCCGUAAGGCUGUGACGUAAGAGGUCUAUAUAAAGGUGAGUUGUUGAAGAAGGUGAGAUAUGGGUAUGGAGAUAGGUGUAAAGAAGGGAACAAUAAAGUGGUGGAGACCGGACCUGCUCUCAUGACUCCCUUUUAUUAUUUUAUUUUAUCAGUACCCAAAUUACGCGAACCCAGGACACUCGGCUACAUUGGUGGCAGCGGUGGGAUUAUUUUAACUGCUGUGUUGAAAAAAAAAAGAAGAAGAAAGUUUUACACGGGACACGUGAGUUUCGAGUUAGCUGCUAAGCUUCCCGGCCAUUUUUCGGACACGUGGUGUGGUGACCACGAUUCUUUUCAAGCCCGGAGGCGCUGUUUGACGGACACUCACACGGCAUGAAUGUCGAAAGUGGAGUUUUUGUUUAACCGCUCCUUUCACCGACGGAGGGAGCCGACUGCACCAGGAGCUGGUGAGGAUUUUCGGAUCCUCCCAACUCGUCCCGUGGGAGACUGGGGGCACGUUUUAAACAAAGACAAUUAAUGGACCGGUUCGGGGCCAACCUGUCGGCGAGUGUGCGUGCUCCGGGGGAGAGCGUGGAGGUGUUUGCUGCGGGCGUGGCCCGGCUGGUUGCGGAGGCGUUCCCGCGGUCUUGCUGCUGGCCCUUCGCGCUGAGAGACAGCCGACGGUGGCGUGAGAAGUACAGAGCGUGUCGGACCCCUCGGUGCCCUUAACGUCCCCGUGGGCGGGUCCCAGGUUUGUCGGCCCACCCGGAGGGUGGUCAUGGACGUUCUGCAUGUGGCCCGGAGGUUCCCAUGGGGGCUGUGAGGGCCCCAGGGUGUUUCCCCUUCAAUUAGACUCUGUAUGUUGCUUGAAAAAAAAGGACGUGCACCACUGCCUAUAACCCCAAGUCUGAUGGCAUGAUGGAGCGUCAUAAACGAACUAUCUCACAAACGGACUAUCUUGCAGGGGGUCACUGGGGCGACCUCCUGCGCACAAUCGGACUAUCUUGCAGGGGGUGACUGGGGUAACCUCCUGCGCACCAUCGGACCAUCUCGCUGGGGGCGACCUCCUCCACAUAAUUGAACUAUCUUACAAAUGGGGCGAUUGGAGUGACAUCCUUCGCAUCUGGGAGUUUUUGCAUGUUUUGAGGGGCCAGUGUGUUAGCCUAUGCAAUACGGUGUAAAAAAAUAUAUUGUUGAUUUAUUGUGAA